UAGUCGCCAGCUCACCCUCAAGUCGGUUU
rnacentral:sRNA from 1 species